rnacentral:rRNA from 1 species
CGAUCUGGCUCAGGAUGAACGCUGGCGGCGUGCCUAACACAUGCAAGUCGAACGAAGCAUGGGGAACGGAGAUUCGUCAAAGGGAACCAUGACUUAGUGGCGGACGGGUGAGUAAUGUAUGAGCAACCUGCCUUUCAGAGGGGGACAACAGUUGGAAACGACUGCUAAUACCGCAUAACAUAUUUGGGUGGCAUCACCUGGAUAUCAAAGGAGCAAUCCGCUGAAAGAUGGGCUCAUAUCUGAUUAGCUAGUUGGCGGGGUAACGGCCCACCAAGGCGACGAUCAGUAGCCGGACUGAGAGGUUGAACGGCCACAUUGGGACUGAGAUACGGCCCAGACUCCUACGGGAGGCAGCAGGUGGGGAAUAUUGGGCAAUGGGCGAAAGCCUGAACCCCAGCAACGCCGCGUGAAGGAAGAAGGUCUCGGAUUAGUAACUUCUUUUAUGAGGGACGAAGGACGUGACGGUACCUCAUGAAUAAGCCACGGCUAACUACGUGCCAGCAGCCGC